UUACAAGGCAUGCCAAAAGGCAGAAAACACAAUUAGAAGAGACAGUGCAAGCAUCAGAACCAGACAUGGCAGGGAUGUUGGAAUUACCAGGUUGGGAAUUUAAAAUAAUUAUAAUUAAUAUGCUGAGGGCUCCACUGGAUGAAGCAGCGUGUAAGAACAGAUGGACAAUAUAAGCAAAGAGAUGGAAAUUCUAAGAAAGAACCAAAAAGGAAUGCCAGAGAGAAAAAAAACUGUAAUCGAAAUGAUGAAUGACUUUGAUGGGUUACUUAGUAGAGUGGACACAGCUGAGGAAAGAAUCUCUGAACUAGAGGAUAUAUCAACAGAAAAGCAAAGGGAACAAAGAUUGAAAAGCAGCAUAGAACAUCCAAGGCCUGGGGGGCAACUACAAAAGCUGUAAAAUAUAUGUAAUGAGAAUACCAGAGGAAGAGAGAGACAGGAACAGAAGAAGUAUUUGAAACAACAGUGACUGAGAAUUUUCUCCUAAAUUAAUGCCAGACGCCAAACCAUAGAUCAAGGAAGCUCAGAGAACAUAAAGCGGAAUAAAUGCCCAAAACUACAUUUAAUCAUAUCAUUUCAACCUACAGAAAAUCAAAGAGAAAAGUCCUAAAGAAGCUGCAGGAAAAAAACACCUUACCUAUGGAGGAAGAAAGAUAAGAAUAACAUCUAACUUCUUCUCAGAAACCAUGCAAAUAAGAAGAGUGGAGUGAAAUAUUCAACAGUGUUGAGAGAAAAAACCCCACCAAUCUAGAAUUCCAUGAAAUUAUCCUUCGAAAGUGAACGAGAAAUAGAGACUUUCUCAGACAAACAAAAACUGAGGGCAUUUGUUGCCUGUAGACCUACCUUGCAAGAAACGUCAAUUUUUUUAGAGAGAAGAAAAAUAGUAUGUCGGGAACUCAGAUCUACAUAAAGUGAGGAAGAGCACUGAAGAAGGAAUAUGCGAAGGCCCACAGCAUGUAAGGAAGAUACAAGAAGGGAAGACCCAGUGUUUCUGAGCCAUUCCUUACCAGGAACAGUCAUCUGAAUAUGACGCCACAGAUCAUAAUCGGUGAGGAAAAGGCUUCAUUCCUUCCACAUUCCCUGUUUAUUGAGCACAACUAUGUGCCUGGCUCUUUCUG
rnacentral:lncRNA from 1 species